UACGGAGGGAGCUAGCGUUGUUCGGAAUUACUGGGCGUAAAGCGCGCGUAGGCGGCUGUUCAAGUCAGAGGUGAAAGCCCGGGGCUCAACCCCCGGAACUGCCUUUGAAACUAGAUAGCUAGAAUCAUGGAGAGGUCGUGGAAUUCCCAGUGUAGAGGUGAAAUUCGUAGAUAUCGGGAGGAACACCUGUGGCGAAGGCGGCCAUCUGGACGUCAACUGACGCUGAGACGCGAAAGCAUGGGGAGCAAACAGG
rnacentral:rRNA from 1 species